rnacentral:rRNA from 1 species
UACAGAGGUCUCAAGCGUUGUUCGGAUUCAUUGGGCGUAAAGGGUGCGUAGGUGGCGUGGUAAGUCGGGUGUGAAAUUUCGGAGCUUAACUCCGAAACUGCAUUCGAUACUGCCGUGCUUGAGGACUGGAGAGGAGACUGGAAUUUACGGUGUAGCAGUGAAAUGCGUAGAGAUCGUAAGGAGGCCCAGUGGCGAAGGCGGGUCUCUGGACAGUUCCUGACACUGAGGCACGAAGGCCAGGGGAGCAAACGGG